UACGUAGGGUCCGAGCGUUGUCCGGAGUUACUGGGCGUAAAGGGCGCGCAGGUGGCGGUGUUGGCCCGGCGUGAAAGCCCCCGGCUCAACCGGGGAGGGUCGUCGGGGACCGCACCGGCUUGAGGGCGGUAGGGGCUGGUGGAAUGCCUGGUGUAGUGGUGAAAUGCGUAGAGAUCAGGCGGAACACCCGUAGCGAAGGCGGCCAGCUGGGCCGUCCCUGACACUGAGGCGCGAAGGCGUGGGGAGCGAACAGG
rnacentral:rRNA from 1 species